CCAGACUCCUACGGGAGGCAGCAGUGGGGAAUAUUGCACAAUGGGGGAAACCCUGAUGCAGCAACGCCGCGUGAGUGAGGAAGUAUUUCGGUAUGUAAAGCCCUAUCGGCAGGGAAGAAGGAGGACGGUACCUGACUAAGAAGCCCCGGCUAACUACGUGCCAGCAGCCGCGGUAAUACGUAGGGGGCAAGCGUUAUCCGGAUUCACUGGGUGUAAAGGGAGCGUAGACGGCGACGCAAGUCUGGAGUGAAAGCCCGGGGCCCAACCCCGGGACUGCUCUGGAAACUGCGGCGCUGGAGUACGGGAGGGGCAGGCGGAAUUCCUGGUGUAGCGGUGAAAUGCGUAGAUAUCAGGAGGAACACCGGCGGCGAAGGCGGCCUGCUGGACUGCAACUGACGUUGAGGCCCGAAAGCGUGGGGAGCAAACAGGAUUAGAUACCCGGGUA
rnacentral:rRNA from 1 species